CGGCACGGGUGAGUAACACGUAUCCAACCUGCCGUCUACUCUUGGACAGCCUUCUGAAAGGAAGAUUAAUAUAAGAUGGCAUCAUGAGUUCACAUGUUCACAUGAUUAAAGGUAUUCCGGUAGACGAUGGGGAUGCGUUCCAUUAGAUAGUAGGCGGGGUAACGGCCCACCUAGUCUUCGAUGGAUAGGGGUUCUGAGAGGAAGGUCCCCCACAUUGGAACUGAGACACGGUCCAA
rnacentral:rRNA from 1 species